UCUGGUUGGAGCCGGAAUGGCUUCUUUCAGUUCUGUAAAUUCCAUCUAAUUGCGAUUACUUCUCCGAUUUGAACGGUUUAUUACUGUUUUACGCUUUUGCUUGUUUCAGAGGCCUUGCAGGUUUUGGUUUUGUGCUCGCAGAUGAAUCUCAUAUGAUCAGACAAGCUCCAUGGCUGCACUUAGAGGCAUCGUUGCCAUGUCCCAUUCUUUCCUCAUUUUCUCUCUGUUUAUAUCUAUAUACGUCAAAUGAUUCGUGGAUCUAAUGUUUUCCCGAUUGCAGAAACCCUAUUUUGGUACUUGAAUGUUGCUCUACUUAUCUCGAGGAGGUCGUCGGGUACUUGUUCUCUUUACCUUUGGUGUUUCUUUGGAAUCUAAAUUUCACGCUCUCAAAGAAUGUGUUUUAUUAAUUAGGCUUUUGAUUUGAAAAUGUUUGAGUCAUUUGGGAAUACGUUGGGGUAUUCUAAAUAAAAGAGAGACGUCGAUCCACCAUUCAUGGCAAAUCUGGCCAAGAUCGCCACCGCAGAGAUGAUCUCGUCCAAGAUUUUUUGAGAACCCAACAUGACCUUAUGGUUUUAUUAGUACUUGGAAUCGUGUAACUUACUGUAAGUCUGCAACAGCAGGGAUAAGCCUUUCAAGAACUCAAUGCAGACUAGCAAAGGGCUGCAUCAGAUGACGGUGUUUGGGUUAUGAAAGUUUUCUCCAUAAACUAAAGUGUCUCCUGUUCUCUACAACUAAAAGGUAUAUAAUGAGGUUUAACGUUGCUUUUUGAUUGACGGCUUGGUGUACCCUUAUGAUCUAUUUAUGUUCCUUUUGAACGCUUAUUAAUUUUUUGCUUGUACUAUUAAAAAAUGAGUUAUUGUAAACUUUCCUCAACUCCCCUUCUACUUUACACCCUCAUUAUUCAACAUGUAACCAAGAAAACAAAAUUAUCAAAUUGACAUA